rnacentral:rRNA from 1 species
AUGUCGUCCAUCCCUGCAUCCGGUCAGGAGAUGGCCGACGCCGCCCUCCGUGCCGCGCAAUGGAUCGUGGCCAAGGCGCUGGCCACCGUUGCCGACGGCGUGCUGGGGGCUUGGGCAGCCACCAGGAACUUUGGUCCGAGCGUCGAGGCUCUCGGCACCGAACUGCUGCUCGUGGAGGCCACACUUGAGAAUGCUUGCCGCAAGGAGCUCAGCGGUGGGGCCAUGGAGAUACUACUGCAGAAGCUGCGGGACUUGGCACACAAUGCCGAGGACUUGCUGGACGAGCUGGACUACUUCCGCAUCCAUGAUGAGCUCCACGGCACGCACGAUGCUGCCCACGAGCUCCAUGGCAGGAGUGGCAUCCAUGGCCUUACCCUCAAUGCUUGUCACGCCGUCAAACACCUGGCAUCUUUUGCUUGGCCGCGUGGUAGGAAGAGGUUACGUGACGAUUCCUCCUCGGAGCCAAGCGCCAAUCAGGCUGAUGAGGAGGCCAGCAGACGCAAGAAACACCAUAUCUUGAUGUUUAACAGGGUUGAUUUCGCCCAAAGGAUGAAGGACAUUGUCGAGAAAAUGCACCCUGUGCGUAAGGAUGUUAAUGAGAUUCUGCUGGGUUGUGGCCCUAGAACUGUCCCAGACAUUGCGCAGCAUCGUCCCACCACCACACCUCAGAGUGCAGAGCCAAAAAUAUAUGGGAGGGACCGUGUCAUGAAUAGCAUCAUACAUGAUAUCACCAAGGGUCAAUACUGUGACAAGGGUCUAACUGUGCUUCCCGUUAUUGGUCCGGGGGGAAUGGGGAAGACAACUCUGAUACAACACAUAUAUAGCAACCAACAAGUGCAGAAUUAUUUUUCGGUCAGGAUUUGGAUAUGUGUGUCAUUCAGUUUCAACCUGGACAAGGUGCUAGAACAGAUUAAAAGAGUUACAUGUCCAGUUGAAGGUGAAAAUGCGUACAGUACAACACAAGAGCUCAUUGAGCACAGACUGAAACACAAAAGGUUUUUGGUUGUAUUGGAUGAUAUAUGGCAGUUUACUGAUGUGGAUGAUUGGAAAAAACUGUUGUUGAUACUCGGCAAGUCAGAAGAAAAGGGUUCCGUGGUUCUAGUAACAACUCGGCAAAAAGAAAUAGCACAGAUGGUUAAAACAACAGAUUGUCCGGAAGAACUGAAUGGUUUAGAACCUGUAGAAUUUAGGAAGUUAUUCUUUGUAUAUGUCUUUGAUGAUGAGCAAUGUCCAGGGGAUAAACGUUUUUUGCUUGACACUGGAAAUAAGAUAAUGGAAAAACUAAAAGGCUCCCCUCUUGCAGCAAAGACCGUUGGUAGAUUAUUGAGGAGAGGCCCUAGUUUGGCUCAUUGGAGAAGGGUCCUAAACAGUAAACAAUGGGCGGAACAGACCAAUGGAAUUAUGGCUGCCUUGGAGCUUAGCUAUGACUUUCUGCCUUUCCAUCUGCAACGGUGUUUUUCCUGUUCUGCAUUAUUUCCCGAAGAUUACCGUUUCAGAAGUCACGAGCUCAUCAGCUUGUGGAUCGGACUAGAUAUUUUGACACCUUGUGGUCAAAACCCAACCUUUGAAGGCGGUCUGAGAAUUUUAAAUGAUUUAGUCACCCAUGGAUUUUUCAGAGAAGUGGAAACUGGUGGUGAUCCAUGGUAUGUCAUGCAUGACCUACUGCAUGAGUUGGCAUUGAAGGUUGCAUCGAAUGAUUGUCUUAGUUUACGUCUCCCUGAUGUUGGCUUAGUAAAAAGCCAGACUACCACCCGACACUUGUCUAUAAGCAUAGAUGACUUACGUAAGUACGAUGCGGUGUCUGGUGAAAAAUUAAAGAGUGAAUUGGAAAAACUGAAGACAAGAAUGAAGGUUGAACAUUUGCAAACACUGAUGUUGUUUGGAAAAAUGGAUGAAGGUUUUGUCAAGAUAUUUGGUGAUUUUUUUGGGGAAGCGAACGCUCUCCGUGUUCUUCAUUUGCCCAGCAUGCUUUGUCCUGUGGAGUCCAUGUUACAUAACUUUUCAAUACUUGUCCACCUACGAUACCUAUGUCUAGGGACAAGUAAGAGCCAGAUGCAUUUACCACUGAACAUCUCUAAAUUUUAUCAUUUAAGGAUUCUAGAUCUUAAAUGGUGGAAUGGCAGUCGUGAUUUGCCUGAUGACAUGAGCAACCUUGCCAAACUGUGCCAUUUUUAUGUCCCAAGUGAUGAUCAGCUUCAUUCUGAUAUUUAUAAUGUGGGUAAACUUAAACUCUUAGAAGAGUUAAAGGUAUUUCAAGUCAAUAAAAAAAGGUGA